UAGGGACAGGCAUGCAUCAUAUGCAUUUGUGUGACAUUGGUUGGGUGUGCAUAUUAUACUUGGUUUGCCUAUGUGAUUAAUUGCUAACUGUUCUACUUGUAAUAACUGUUUGUUUGUGCUUGAACUUCCUUCCUGUGUUUGCAUCUGGGACUCUGUUGGAUUGUGGUGAUUGGUUGUUGGUUGGAUUGUUUGGGCCUAGGGC
rnacentral:lncRNA from 1 species